rnacentral:rRNA from 1 species
CAGCGCCGCGGUAAUACGUAGGUGGCGAGCGUUGUCCGGAUUUAUUGGGCGUAAAGGGAGUGUAGGCGGUUUUUUAAGUCUGAUGUGAAAGCCCACGGCUCAACCGUGGAGGGUCAUUGGAAACUGGAAAACUUGAGUGCAGAAGAGGAAGGUGGAAUUCCAUGUGUAGCGGUGAAAUGCGCAGAGAUAUGGAGGAACACCAGUGGCGAAGGCGACUUUCUGGUCUGUAACUGACGCUGAUGUGCGAAAGCGUGGGGAUCAAACAGGAUUAGAUACCCCAGUAGUCCCUGUCUCUUAUACA